UGGGGAAUUUUGGACAAUGGGCGAAAGCCUGAUCCAGCAAUGCCGCGUGUGUGAAGAAGGCCUUCGGGUUGUAAAGCACUUUUGUCCGGAAAGAAAUGGCUCUGGUUAAUACCUGGGGUCGAUGACGGUACCGGAAGAAUAAGGACCGGCUAACUACGUGCCAGCAGCCGCGGUAAUACGUAGGGUCCAAGCGUUAAUCGGAAUUACUGGGCGUAAAGCGUGCGCAGGCGGUUGUGCAAGACCGAUGUGAAAUCCCCGAGCUUAACUUGGGAAAUGCAGUGGUGACUGCACGGCUAGAGUGUGUCAGAGGGGGGUAGAAUUCCACGUGUAGCAGUGAAAUGCGUAGAGAUGUGGAGGAAUACCGAUGGCGAAGGCAGCCCCCUGGGAUAACACUGACGCUCAUGCACGAAAGCGUGGGGAGCAAACAGG
rnacentral:rRNA from 1 species